UACGUAGGGUGCGAGCGUUGUCCGGAUUUAUUGGGCGUAAAGAGCUCGUAGGCGGUUUGUCACGUCGGGAGUGAAAACUCAGGGCUUAACCCUGAGCCUGCUUCCGAUACGGGCAGACUAGAGGUAUGCAGGGGAGAACGGAAUUCCUGGUGUAGCGGUGAAAUGCGUAGAUAUCGGAAGGAACACCGGUGGCGAAAGCGGCGCGCUGGACCUCUUCUGACGCUGAGGCGCGAAAGCCAGGGGAGC
rnacentral:rRNA from 1 species